GCAACCAAGUGAAGAAAGCUGCCAAAUCCAGGUUACUGCCCAUCAUUGUGAAGUCAAGGCAGUGUCAAACAGCAAGGCACGUCACGUCUGCGGAGAGACACAAAGUGGCUUACAAGCAUCCAUCCUCUGCCUGCUGUGGUAACAUGCAAGGAUACAUGUCCGUUGACAUUUGGAGGCGUGGUCAGAGUCAUGACAUUCCUGCUUCUGCUGCAUGCUGAGAACUUAAGAACAGGACACACUAAGCGGUGGCAGGUACUGGGUGGGAUGUCCCCAGCCACAGAAUUGCUUCUCAAAACCCACCUCUGCUUUAGCCUCAAUUUAACACGCUUUUCUGACCAACCCACAAACAUCUUCCCAAGUCUUUCUGCUCUGUUUUUACUCCUAAUGUUUAACUUUUAA
rnacentral:lncRNA from 1 species